GAGACUUAGAGAAGAAGUUGGAGCAGGUGAUGAAGCAGAAGUGCACCUGUGACUCAAACGUAGAGAAAGACAAAGAGGCUGAAUACGCAGCCCAGCUGGCAGAACUGAGGCAAAGACUAGACCAUGCUGAGGCCGACAGGCAAGAACUGCAAGAUGAACUGAGACAGGAGCGGGAGGCGAGGCAGAAGCUAGAGAUGAUGAUAAAGGAACUGAAGCUGCAGAUCGUGAAGUCGUCCAAGACCGCCAAGGAGUAAGCGGAAGAGGAGACGCGCCUGUGUUUGGUUGGCAGGACUUCAUGUUUGUCACUUGCUUUGAAAAUUGAAUUCUAACAUCUUACUUGCAUGAAGGUAGCUAGGCAUUCUGUUCAUUUAUAGGGCAGCAAAAGUGAAGAUUAU
rnacentral:lncRNA from 1 species